UGGGGAAUAUUGCACAAUGGGCGCAAGCCUGAUGCAGCCAUGCCGCGUGUGUGAAGAAGGCCUUCGGGUUGUAAAGCACUUUCAGCGAGGAGGAAGGUGGUGGACUUAAUACGUUCAUCAAUUGACGUUACUCGCAGAAGAAGCACCGGCUAACUCCGUGCCAGCAGCCGCGGUAAUACGGAGGGUGCAAGCGUUAAUCGGAAUUACUGGGCGUAAAGCGCACGCAGGCGGUUUGUUAAGUCAGAUGUGAAAUCCCCGGGCUCAACCUGGGAACUGCAUUUGAAACUGGCAAGCUAGAGUCUCGUAGAGGGGGGUAGAAUUCCAGGUGUAGCGGUGAAAUGCGUAGAGAUCUGGAGGAAUACCGGUGGCGAAGGCGGCCCCCUGGACGAAGACUGACGCUCAGGUGCGAAAGCGUGGGGAGCAAACAGGGUUAGAUACCCUGGUAGUCCACGCUGUAAACGAUGUCGAUUUUGGAGGUUGUGCCCUUGAGGCGUGGCUUCCGGAGCUAACGCGUUAAAUCGACCGCCUGGGGAGUACGGCCGCAAGGUUAAAACUCAAAUGAAUUGACGGGGUC
rnacentral:rRNA from 1 species